GAUUUUACUCUGCUUUCUUAGUUGCUGAAAAGGUGAAAACUUCAAACUUUUGUUUCUUAGUGUCUUUUGAUAAAUGUCUUUGUUAUAAGGAGUGCACUUAUAGUUGUCUCUGCAUUCACAUAAAACCUCAAUCUAAGGUUACGUGUCUCUAUUCAAUGAUUUCUUAUGUUUGAUUUGUUGGAUAUUGAGAUCUCUUAUAGAUAAUGUGACUGCUCAUUACCUUAUUCAUGGCUGCAGGAAGAUGAAAAUUA